CCUACGGGUGGCAGCAGUGGAGAAUAUUGCGCAAUGGGCGAAAGCCUGACGCAGCGACGCCGCGUGAGGGAUGAAGGUCUUCUGAUCGUAAACCUCUGUCAGCAGGGAAGAACGGUCACUGUGCUAAUCAGCAGUGAAUUGACGGUACCUGCAAAGGAAGCAUCGGCUAACUCCGUGCCAGCAGCCACGGUAAUACGGAGGAUGCGAGCUUUAUCCGGAUUUAUUGGGUUUAAGGGGUGCGUAGGCGGAAUGCCAAGUCAGCGGUAAAAUCGCGGGGCUCAACCUCGAUCCGCCGUUGAAACUGGCGUUCUUGAGUGGGGGAGAAGUAUGCGGAAUGCGGGGUGUAGCGGUGAAAUGCAUAGAUAUCACGAAGAACUCUGAUUGCGAAGGCAGCAUACCGGAGCCCAACUGACGCUGAAGCACGAAAGCGUGGGUAUCGAACAGGAUUAGAUACCCCGGUAGUC
rnacentral:rRNA from 1 species